UACGCCCCGGAGUUCGUGCCAGGAGUGCGUUUGCAAAUCUCGCGCAAGUUUGCGUUUGCAAAGUUGACAAUGUAAAUGCACUAUCUGGUACGACACCCCGGGGCGA
rnacentral:pre_miRNA from 1 species